CUGUGCGGUGCGUUCCCCCCCCCAUAGGGUCUGUCGGGUGAUGGAGCCGCGCACCUGUGCGGUGCGUUCCCCCCCCCAUAGGGUCUGGUCUGUUGGGUGAUGGAGCUGUGCGCCUGUGCGGUGCGUCCCCCCCCGUAGGGUCCAUCGGGUAAUGGAGCCGUGCGUCUGUGUGGAGCGUCCCCCCUCUCCCCGUAGGGUCUGUCGGAUGAUGGAGCUGUGUGCCUGUGUUGUGUGCUUCCCCUCAUACGGUCCGUCAGAUGAUGGAACUGUGUGCCUAUGUUGUGUGCUUCCCCCCAUAGGGUGUUGGAUGAUGGAG